rnacentral:rRNA from 1 species
AUUGAACGCUGGCGGCAUGCUUUACACAUGCAAGUCGGACGAGUGGCGAACGGGUGAGUAACGCAUCGGAACGUACCGCGUAAUGGGGGAUAACUGUCCGAAAGGACAGCUAAUACCGCAAAUUAUUCGAGCGGCCGAUGUCUGAUUAGCUGGUUGGCGGGGGAAAGGCCCACCAAGGCGACGAUCAGUAGCGGGUCGGAGAGGCAGGUCCGCAACACUGGGACUGGGAAACGGCCCAGACUCCUACGGGAGGCAGCAGUGGGGAAUUUUGGACAAGGGGCGCAAGCCUGAGCCGGCCAUGCCGCGUGUCUGAAGAAGGCCUUCGGGUUGUAAAGGACUUUUGUCAGGGAAGCGGUACCUGAAGAAUAAGCACCGGCUAACUACGUGCCAGCAGCCGCGGUAAUUC